AUUCUUGUUAGAAGAUAUGUAGACAAAGACUCAUACGGAGUUUGGCUAAACCAUCAAAGCUUUUAGAAGCAAGAAGAAGGUUUGUUAGUGUUUUGGAGUGAAAUAUGACUUGAUGUCAUGUGUAUGAGUGAGUAUAAAAACUAGAACCGCAACGGAUCUUAAAAGCCUAAAUAUUGUAUCCUUGUUAGAAGAUACAUAGACAAAGUCUCAUACGGAAUUCGGCUAAACCAUCAAAGCUUUUAGAAGCAAGAAGAAGCUUGGUUAGUGUUUUGGAGUGAAAUAUGACUAGAUGUCAUGUGUAUGAGUGAGUAUAUCAACUAGAACCACAAUUGGAAUUUUAAAAGCCUAAGUAUUAUAUCCUUGUUAGAAGAUACAAAGACAAACACUCAUACGGACUUUGGCUACACCAUCAAAGCUUUUAGAAGCAAGAAGAAGCUUGGUUAGUGUUUUGGAGUCGAAUAUGACUUGAUGUGAUGUGUAUGAUUGAGUAUAAGAAAUUAAACCGCAACCGGAACUUAAAAGCCUAAGUAUUGUUUUCUUGUUAGAAGAAACAAAGGCAAAGCCUCAUACAGACUUUAGCUUUACCAUCAAAGCCUUGAGAAGCAAGAAGAAGCUUGGUUAGUGUUUUGGAGUCAAAUAUUACUAGAUGUCAUGUGUAUGAGUGAGUAUGACAACUAGAACCAUAACCGGAUCUUAAAAACCUAAGUAUUGAAUCUUUGUUAGAAGAUACAAAGACAAAGACUCAUACGGACUUCGACUACACCAUCAAAGCUUUGAGAAGCAAGAAGCAGUUGGUUAGUGUUUUGGAGUCGAAUAUGACUUGAUGUCAUGUGUAUGAGUGAGUAUAAAAACUAGAACCGCAACGGAUCUUAAAAGCCUAAAUAUUGUAUCCUUGUUAGAAGAUACAUAGACAAAGUCUCAUACGGAAUUCGGCUAAACCAUCAAAGCUUUUACAAGCAAGAAGAAGCUUGGUUAGUGUUUUAGAGUGAAAUCUAACUAGAUGUCAUGUGUAUGAGUGAGUAUACCAACUAGAACCACAAUUGGAAUUUUAAAAGCCUAAGUAUUAUAUCCUUGUUAGAAGAUACAAAGACAAACACUCAUACGGACUUUGGCUACACCAUCAAAGCUUUGAGAAGCAAGAAGAAGUUUGGUUAGUGUUUUGGAGUCGAAUAUGACUUGAUGUGAUGUGUAUGAUUGAGUAUAAGAAAUUAAAGCGCAACCGGAUCUUAAAAGCCUAAGUGUUGUUUCCUUGUUAGAAGAAA
rnacentral:sRNA from 1 species